rnacentral:tRNA from 1 species
GGGAGAGUGGCGCAAUCGGUUAGCGCAAGAAGUAGCUUGUCUGUUGUUGGUUCGAGUCCAACCUCUCCCACCA